rnacentral:rRNA from 1 species
UGGGGAAUAUUGGACAAUGGGCGCAAGCCUGAUCCAGCCAUGCCGCGUGAGUGAUGAAGGCCUUAGGGUUGUAAAGCUCUUUCGACGGGGACGAUAAUGACGGUACCCGUAGAAGAAGCCCCGGCUAACUUCGUGCCAGCAGCCGCGGUAAUACGAAGGGGGCUAGCGUUGCUCGGAAUCACUGGGCGUAAAGGGCGCGUAGGCGGACGUUUAAGUCAGAGGUGAAAGCCCAGGGCUCAACCCUGGAAUGGCCUUUGAUACUGGACGUCUUGAGUCUGGUAGAGGUUGGUGGAACUGCGAGUGUAGAGGUGAAAUUCGUAGAUAUUCGCAAGAACACCGGUGGCGAAGGCGGCCAACUGGACCAGAACUGACGCUGAGGCGCGAAAGCGUGGGGAGCAAACAGGAUUAGAUACCCUGGUAGUCCACGCCGUAAACGAUGGAUGCUAGCCGUUGGCCGGUUUACCGGUCAGUGGCGCAGCUAACGCGUUAAGCAUCCCGCCUGGGGAGUACGGCCGCAAGGUUAAAACUCAAAUGAAUUGACGGGGUCAUAGCUGUUUCCU